CUACGGAGGGUGCAAGCGUUAUCCGGAAUCAUUGGGUUUAAAGGGUCCGUAGGCGGGCUAAUAAGUCAGGGGUGAAAUCCCACAGCUUAACUGUGGAACUGCCCUUGAUACUGUUGGUCUUGAGUUACAGUGAAGUGGUUAGAAUGUGUAGUGUAGCGGUGAAAUGCAUAGAGAUUACACAGAAUACCGAUUGCGAAGGCAGAUCACUAACUGUAUACUGACGCUAAUGGACGAAAGCGUGGGGAGCGAACAGGAUUAGAAACCCCUGUAGUCC
rnacentral:rRNA from 1 species